UACGGGGGGUGCAAGCGUUAAUCGGAAUUACUGGGCGUAAAGCGCGCGUAGGCGGUCUGGUCAGUCGGAUGUGAAAUCCCCGGGCUUAACCUGGGAAUUGCAUUCGAUACUGCCAAGCUAGAAUGUGGAAGAGGGAAGUGGAAUUUCCGGUGUAGCAGUGAAAUGCGUAGAUAUCGGAAGGAACACCAGUGGCGAAGGCGGCUUCCUGGUCCAACAUUGACGCUGAGGUGCGAAAGCGUGGGGAGCGAACAGG
rnacentral:rRNA from 1 species